GAUCAUGGCUCAGGAUGAACGCUGGCGGCGUGCUUAACACAUGCAAGUCGAGCGAAGCAAUCUAAGUGAAGUUUUCGGAUGGAUUUUGGAUUGACUGAGUGGCGGACGGGUGAGUAACGCGUGGAUAACCUGCCUCACACUGGGGGAUAACAGUUAGAAAUGACUGCUAAUACCGCAUAAGCGCACAGUACCGCAUGGUACAGUGUGAAAAACUCCGGU
rnacentral:rRNA from 1 species